CCUCUUCCAUGCUCACUUCUUUUUAAGACACGAUGGCAGGAGUCAUUGUGCGCUCCUAACAGAUUAUCUCUAUAUCUCAAUAAUUAUUAUUAUAAUCAAUAAAUUAUUUUUAUUUUAAUUAAACUGUUUCUAUAGUUUUCAAUUGAUUCAAUUCAUCAUAGAAUUCAGUGCAACAUUAACUAUUAUUACAACAAUAAUAAUUGGAUUGUUCUAUAGAAUAUUACAAUACUUUUUAAAUAAAUUACAUAUGUAUAAUAGGAUCAAAGGAAUCCCGGAUCCAAAAGUAUAUCCAAUUGUUGGAAAUAUUCAUUAAUUUGUCGGCAAUAACAAAGCUUUAUUCAACCAAAUUCUAAAUCUUGAUAAGAUUUUUUCUUAAGACUGAAUAGUCCAAUCAUUACUUAUAAGAGCGAAGUUGAAAUAGUCGAAGCAUUAGUGAUAAGAGCGAGGAAUAUGAAAACCUGAAACCUGCUGUAGGCAAUGGUGGUUUGUUAAUUGCUCCAGCAUCAGGAAUCCUCAUCGAAAAUUAUUAAGUGAAGUCCUUUUUAAAAAAUAUGUAAAGUCGCAUAUGGAUGUAUUGGUUAAUCAUUUUGUCUCUUUAAUGAAAAAAUUGGAAAUUUUGGUUGGAAAAGAAUUAGAUGUUUGCCAUUACGUUUUUUCCUGUACAUUGGACGUAUUAUAAGGUAGAAUUCAGAAAAUUUUGAAAAGUUUAUAAAUUUUAUACACACUUGUAUGAAUUUAUUAUAAUUUUGUUAAAGUUUUUAUCGAAUCCUUACGUAUAUAAAGUUGCUGACAAAUUCGGAUUGCAAAUUAGCUGAAUCUAUAGACUGGUAAUAAUAAUGAAUUUUUUAUAUUCGUUAUGUUCUUCUGUAUUUAUUUAUAAUAUCUUUUAUCUCCUUAUUCAAUGGGAUCUAUAUAACUGCAGAAAGGAUUCUGAAAUUAUGGUUACAUCUCUAUAUAAUUUUUUAUAACACUGCUCUAUAGCAGUUCCCUAUGGAAUUUCAGACAUGAUAACGUACAAGCGAAGCAUUUUUUAAUCUUUAUCGAUAUAAAUAUAUAUUAUUUUAUGUUUCGAAAGAUAAUCGAAGAUAAAAGGAAUCUGUAUUGAUAAAUGUAAUUAUUAACCAGAGAUUGACAAAGGAAAAUUCAGGUAAGAAUAAUUAUAAUAUAUACAAUACAAUUUUAAUUUUCAUCUUGUUUUAUAAUAAUAAAAGAUCCUUAUUUAUCUAUCAAAAACAAAAGCCGGAGACAUUUUUAAACUUUCGAAUCAACGCACGAAGAAGAAAAAUAAUCGGAGCAAGAUACUCGAGAUGAUAUUAAUACGAUAGUUAUAGCCGUAAGUCGCAUUUAUUAUUUAAGUGCCAUAAAAUUUUGUUUAUUGAAUAAAAUUUAAGUAAAUAGUAUAUUACUUUCAGAGAGUACAUUAAGCAAUACCAUUAGCUUUGUAAUUUUAAUACUUGCUACAUUCCCUGAUAUUCAUGUACGUAUAUAUUACACUUUCUUAAUUAUUUGUCAUUUUAAUAACGAAACUAAUUAGAUAAGAGGUUAAUAUAAAAAUUAUUUUCAUUAUAUAAAUAACGACAAAUAAUUAAAAAAAUAUAAUAUGUACGUACUUGAAUAUCAGGGAAUGUAGCAAGCAUUAAAAGUACAAAGCUAAUAGUAAUUGCUGAAGUAUCCCUUUCCUUACAAAAAUAAGACCCUUUUCUUCAAUUGUAUUUAACAAACAAAAUUUUAUUACACCUAAAUAAUAAAUGCGACUUACAGCUAUAACUAUUGUAUUAAUUUCAUCUCGGGUAUCUUGCUCCGAAUAUUUUUCUCCUUCGUGCGAUGAUUCGAAUAAAAUGUUUAAAAGUGUCUUCGGUUUUUGUUUUUAUAACAUAAAUCUUAUCAGUAUAAAAGAAGAUGAAAACUAGAAUACAGUUGCGUAUAUAAUAAUUAUUUUUAGCUGAACUUUUCAGCUUCAAUACUCGGUCAAUUGUACUUCUUAUUACAUUCAAAAUAGUUAAUUAAUGAAUAUUUCCAAUAAUUGGAUAUGCUUUUGGAUCCAGGAUUCCUUUGAUCUUAUUAUACAUAUAUAAUUUAUUUAAAUUGUGUUGUAAUAUUCUGUAGAAUAAUCCUAUUAGUAUUGCUGUAAUAAUAGUUAAUGUUUCAAUGAAUUCCAUGAUGAAUUAAAUCAAUUGAAAGUUAUAGAAAUAGUUUAAUUCAAAUAAAAAUCGUUUAAUGAUUGUAAUAAUAA